GUCGUCGAGCCAAUGCAACCCGCUGCUGGGGAAACGAUAAUAAUCCUCUGUGCUGGCUUUGCUGAGAUGUCUUCAUCUUAAAAUGCCUGUACGUGGCUGCGCUCUUCGCCUUCUGGCGGACAGGACGGAUCCAUCUGCCGUAAACGGCCGGAACUGAGGAGCAAUCAGAACCCGGUCCAACUCAUUAUUGCCUCUGGUUGACCACACAACGGUGAUUUCAGUCCUGAUCCAGAAGAUUUUUAUUUUUUUUUUAACCAUGGGCUGAUUUUGUCGUCUCUCACAAGGACAUGAACUUUUUUUUUUUCGUUUAAAAGAUGAAAAUCUAAAACUGUGCAGAGCAAAAGCCAUAUUUUAAAGUGGAGGUAAAUUAUCCAAAACGUGCACUCAAAAAAAAGUCUAAUUGGAUUUUUAGGAAAGUAAUGGGUUUUCCUUCCUUGUUUAAAUCCAAUUUGGAGUUGUUAAGACUGUGACUGUUUAGAAAGCACACUGAGACGAACAAAGAGGAAUCCCAUCCCCGAGGAUAUUGUGCGUGUCUGAUUUAUUUAGAGACUUUAAUUGCUGCUUGUUCAACUACUGCAGCAGCAUGAUGUUCAGGUAAAUUUAUAGGAAAGCGUGAUGAACAAGAAGGUUAUUUUGUGGAGUACCAAGUCGUCGUUUCCUUACAAUGUUGUUUUUUUCUGGCUACAUUUAACCAAACACUGAUUAAUGAUGAAAGUAAAUAUGUCUCAAACCAAAUGCAAAUGUGAAUAAAAGCAAAAGUUGCAAAAAAAGAAGAAAAAAAAGAGUCCCAAUGCAAUGCUACAUUGAGGUUAAUAAAACCAAUUCCACAUCCA